UACGUAGGGUGCGAGCGUUGUCCGGAAUUAUUGGGCGUAAAGGGCUCGUAGGCGGUUUGUCGCGUCGGGAGUGAAAACACCGGGCUUAACUCGGUGCUUGCUUUCGAUACGGGCAGACUAGAGGUAUGCAGGGGAGAACGGAAUUCCUGGUGUAGCGGUGAAAUGCGCAGAUAUCAGGAGGAACACCGGUGGCGAAGGCGGGUCUCUGGGCCGAUACUGACGCUGAGGAGCGAAAGCGUGGGGAGUGAACAGG
rnacentral:rRNA from 1 species